rnacentral:sRNA from 1 species
GCUGGGUGUGGUGGUGCACACCUGUAAUACAAGUAACUUGGGAGGCUGAUGCAAGAGGUUUGCAAGUUCAAGGCCUGGCUCAGAAUACUAGCAAGGCCCUGAACAAUUUUGUGAGAUCCUCUCUCA